rnacentral:rRNA from 1 species
ACGAACGCUGGCGGCGUGCUUAACACCUGCAAGUCGCACGGAAAGGCCCUGCUUGCAGGGUGCUCGAGUGGCGAACGGGUGAGUAACACGUGGGUGAUCUGCCCCUUACUUUGGGAUAAGCCUGGGAAACUGGGUCUAAUACUGGACAGGACCAUGCUGUAGGUGGUGUGGUGGAAAGAUUAGUUUCGGUAAGGGAUGAGCUCGCGGCCUAUCAGCUUGUUGGUGGGGUAAUGGCCUACCAAGGCGUCGACGGGUAGCCGGCCUGAGAGGGUGGACGGCCACAUUGGGACUGAGAUACGGCCCAGACUCCUACGGGAGGCAGCAGUGGGGAAUAUUGCACAAUGGGCGCAAGCCUGAUGCCGCGACGCCGCGUGGGGGAUGACGGCCUUCGGGUUGUAAACUCCUUUCAGCCAUGACGAAGCCCUUGUGGUGACGGUAGUGGUAGAAGAAGCACCGGCUAACUACGUG